rnacentral:tRNA from 1 species
GCCUGGGUGGCUCAGUCGGUUAAGGGUCCGACUUUGGCUCGGGUCACCAUCUCACAGUUUGUGGGUUCGAGUCCCACAUUGGGCU